rnacentral:tRNA from 1 species
AGGAUAGUAGUUAAAUAUAACAUUUGGGUUGCAUUCAAAAAGUACUGAUACCUUCAGUCUAUCUU